CCUACGGGAGUCAGCAGUGGGGAAUAUUGGGCAAUGGGCGCAAGCCUGACCCAGCAACGCCGCGUGAAGGAAGAAGGCUUUCGGGUUGUAAACUUCUUUUGUCAGGGACGCAGCAAGUGACGGUACCUGACGAAUAAGCCACGGAUAACUACGUGCCAGCAGCCGCGGUAAUACGUAGGUGGCAAGCGUUCUCCGGAUUUAUUGGGUGUAAAGGGCGUGUAGGCGGGAAUGCAAGUCAGAUGUGAAAACUAUGGGGUUAACCCAUAGCCUGCAUUUGAAACUGUAGUUCUUGAGUGCUGGAGAGGCAAUCGGAAUUCCGUGUGUAGCGGUGAAAUGCGUAGAGAUACGGAAGAACACCAGUGGCGAAGGCGGAUUGCUGGACAGUAACUGACGCUGAGGCGCGAAAGCGUGGGGAGCAAACAGGAUUAGAUACCCCAGUAGUC
rnacentral:rRNA from 1 species